AACGUAGGAGACGAACGUUAUCCGGAGUUACUGGGCGUAAAGGGCGUGUAGGCGGUUUGUUAAGUCUGGCGUGAAAGCUCUCGGCUCAACCGGGAGAGGUCGUUGGAUACUGGCAAACUUGAGGAUGGUAGAGGCGUGUGGAAUUCCGGGUGUAGUGGUGAAAUGCGUAGAGAUCGGAAGGAACGUCAAUGGCGAAGGCAGCCACCUGGCAUAAUACUGACGCUGAGGCGCGAAAGCGUGGGGAGCAAACAGG
rnacentral:rRNA from 1 species